rnacentral:snRNA from 1 species
GGAUGUGAGGGCGAUCUGGCUGUGACAUCUGUCACUGAUUGAUUGCCAGGGUUGAUUCGUUUAAUCUGGCUGGCUAGGCCGGUGUCCCCUUCCUCCCUCACCAUUCCAUGUGCGUCCCUCCCAAAGGUGUGCACUCAGUCAAAGAGGAUGACCUUCCCCGAGUACAGGAGGACCGGUCUUCAGUCAAGGGUAUAGGAGUAGCUGAGUUCCCUUGCUAGAACCUCCAAACAAGCUGUCAAAAUUCAAGAUAUUCUGAAUUAAGAUAUAUGAAAGCCUACUUCUUUGGAUAACAGGACAUCCAGAAGCUAUAAAUUGCUACUAGAA